UACAGAGGGGGCGAGCGUUGUUCGGAAUUACUGGGCGUAAAGGGCGCGUAGGCGGCCUUCUAAGUCGGACGUGAAAUCCCCGGGCUCAACCCGGGAACUGCGUCCGAUACUGGGAGGCUUGAAUCCGGGAGAGGGAUGUGGAAUUCCAGGUGUAGCGGUGAAAUGCGUAGAUAUCUGGAGGAACACCGGUGGCGAAGGCGGCAUCCUGGACCGGUAUUGACGCUGAGGCGCGAAAGCCAGGGGAGCAAACGGG
rnacentral:rRNA from 1 species